GGAGUUAUAGUCAACAAUGAUAUUUGAUUUGCACUCAAAAGGUGCUCUCUUAUGAGCUAACUUCA
rnacentral:tRNA from 1 species